UGUGUGGUUCACAGACUCGGUAGGCAAGGC
rnacentral:piRNA from 1 species